rnacentral:rRNA from 1 species
CUUGACUCUAGUCUGACGUCGUGAGGAGACGCGAGAGGUGUAGCAUAAGCGGGAGGUCCCGCUCCUCGCGUCCGGGGCCGUCCAUGAAAUACCGCUGCUCUCGUGGUUUCCCCACUUACCCGGUCGGACGUGACGCGUGGGCCCGGCCGCGAGGCCGGGCGCGCCUUCUCGAGCCAAGGUCCGGCGGGCCCGCCCGCCGGGCCGAUCCGUUCCGGGGACGCCGUCAGGCGGGGAGUUUGACUGGGGCGGUACGUCUGUCAAACGAUAACGCAGGUGUCCUAAGGCCGGCUCAGCGAGGACGGAAACCUCGCGCGGAGCAAAAGGGCAAAUGCCGGCUUGAUACCGGCGUUCAGUGUGCGCCGCUACCGCGAAAGCGCGGCCCAGCGAUCCUCUCGGUCCGGAGAGUUUCCGCCGAGAGGUGUCAGAAAAGUUACCACAGGGA